rnacentral:rRNA from 1 species
ACUCCUGCGGGAGGCAGCAGUGGGGAAUUUUGGACAAUGGGCGAAAGCCUGAUCCAGCAAUGCCGCGUGAGUGAAGAAGGCCUUCGGGUUGUAAAGCUCUUUUGUCAGGGAAGAAACGGUGAAAGCUAAUAUCUUUUGCUAAUGACGGUACCUGAAGAAUAAGCACCGGCUAACUACGUGCCAGCAGCCGCGGUAAUACGUAGGGUGCAAGCGUUAAUCGGAAUUACUGGGCGUAAAGCGUGCGCAGGCGGUUUUGUAAGUCUGAUGUGAAAUCCCCGGGCUCAACCUGGGAAUUGCAUUGGAGACUGCAAGGCUAGAAUCUGGCAGAGGGGGGUAGAAUUCCACGUGUAGCAGUGAAAUGCGUAGAUAUGUGGAGGAACACCGAUGGCGAAGGCAGCCCCCUGGGUCAAGAUUGACGCUCAUGCACGAAAGCGUGGGGAGCAAACAGGAUUAGAAACCCGUGUAGUCCCA